rnacentral:tRNA from 1 species
GGUUCUGUAGUGUAGUGGUUAGCACACGGGAUUCUGAUUCAUCACAAUCUUCCCGUGACCCCGGUUCAAUCCCGGGCAGGACCU